rnacentral:rRNA from 1 species
UACGGAGGGGGCUAGCGUUGUUCGGAUUUACUGGGCGUAAAGGGCGCGUAGGCGGCAAUUCAAGUCAGCUGUGAAAUCUCCGGGCUUAACUCGGAACGGUCAGCUGAUACUGCUUUGCUAGAGUGCAGAAGGGGCAAUCGGAAUUCUUGGUGUAGCGGUGAAAUGCGUAGAUAUCAAGAGGAACACCUGAGGUGAAGACGGGUUGCUGGGCUGACACUGACGCUGAGGCGCGAAAGCUAGGGUAGCAAACGGG